rnacentral:other from 1 species
AUGCGCGAGCAAGAUCCACUAAAACAAGGAUUGAGAC